rnacentral:tRNA from 1 species
GCCUGGGUGGCUCAUUCGGUUGAGCGUCUGACUUCAGCUUAGGUCAUGAUCUCACAGUCCGUGGGUUCUAGCCCCACGUCAGGCU